AGAGGCUUAGGCUAAAAUACAGACCAGGGGCCUUCAAAGCCCCCAGCGGGAGUGAAAACCUCUCAGCCUCUG
rnacentral:tRNA from 2 species